rnacentral:rRNA from 1 species
UUAUUUACUAUGUUGUGUGCUCCUUUUCCGGUGAUUGCUUCUUCGGGUUGGUUCCGAUAACGUCGCGUUUGUGAGGAUCCGUUCAACUACGUCCGUUUGUCUUCUUCAUGGACUUGUUCUUCUUCCUUGCGGGAUUUCAGCUUGCAGGUGCCGUUGAGUCCGUGCAGAUGACGCAACCAAGCUCAGGAGGAGCUCGAUGAAGAUCUUGCCCUUUGUGUUGUUUCGUUC